rnacentral:rRNA from 1 species
GUCUACGGCCAUCCUACCCUGAACAAGCCCGAUCCCAUCUGAUCUCGGAAGCUAAGCAGAGUCGGGCCUGGUUAGUACUUGGAUGGGAGACCACCUAGGAAGACCAGUUGCUGUAGGCG